GAUAUUAGCUCACGGAAUCGGAAGGCAAAGCAUUGGCCUAACGAACAGAAGUCAUAUACGAGGCAAAUAUCGGAUGAGGAGGGCCAAAGCUUGUAUGGAAGAUUUUUAGGUAUAUAUGGCAGGUAUAAAA
rnacentral:ncRNA from 1 species